GUUCUCACCCUAGCCCUAACUCUACACUUGCUGACUUCUUUGUUUUAAAAUCGGAACAUCUGAACACUGAAAGAUUGAAGAGAAAAAAAAUGGACAAAGGUCUUCACAAUUAUGAGUGAACGUUUUUCAAUCUAAGGUAACUAUACUCACCAUUCAAUUUGAAGAAUCAAAUAUAGCCCAAACAGCAGAAGGUCAAAUGGAAGGAAAACUUAAAGAAAAAAAUGAUGCUAUUGCGGCAUUGGUGUGUUUAUGUACUAAUUUGAUUUCUGAUUAAACAGACAAAACUGUUUCCGUUUUAUAA